UUUCGCAAUGCCCGAAAGGGUGACGAAGCGACGCCGCGUGUGGGAAGAAGGCCUUCGGGUUGUAAACCACUGUCGGGAGUUAAGAAAGGUGUACGGGUAAAUAGUCCGUGCAUUUGACAAAAGCUCCGGAGGAAGCCACGGCUAACUCUGUGCCAGCAGCCGCGGUAAUACAGAGGUGGCAAGCGCUGUUCGGAAUUAUUGGGCGUAAAGAGCACGUAGGCGGCCCUGCAAGUCAGCUGUGAAAGCCUCCUGCUUAACGGGAGAAGUGCAGUUGAAACUACGGGGCUAGAGUGCGGAAGGGGAGAGUGGAACUUCUGGUGGAGCGGUGAAAUGCGUAGAUAUCAGAAGGAACACCGGCGGCGAAAGCGGCUCUCUGGUCCGUAACUGACGCUGAGGUGCGAAAGCCAGGGGAGCAAACGGGAUUAGAUACCCCGGUAGUCCUGGCCGUAAACGAUGGGCACUAAGUAGAGGGGUUUU
rnacentral:rRNA from 1 species